rnacentral:lncRNA from 1 species
CUGCGCUAGCUUUGACAACACGUACACCGAGGCCUGCUGCCAACGCCAAUCCCUUAACACGUGGAUCUUCUUACAGCUCCAAUCGGGAACAGCUGGGUAAAGUAGCUGAACGUGUACUGGACCAUGUAAAAAGCAUCAGAGCAACCAUAUGAGCGGCAAAAAAGGACAUCAGUGCCUUGACACUUACUCAGUGACCAGAAAAGAUGUGAAACAUGCUGGAGGAGUUCCACAUGAUCUCCCAAGAAGGUCUUUACCAUGUUGACUGUUAUACAACAACCACAUGGAUGAUCCAGCACAUGGGCGUUUCACAGCGAUGCCCAUCCUUGGCUCCGUGCCCGAUGCCAUCAGACCUCGCGGGAACCACAGAAACGUUCCUCCGGACCCAGAGAGUGCCCUGAACCGCAACUCAAACCAGUUGGUAAGUCUGCGUUGCAUCUGUUUAUGAUAGUUUAGCGCAGGAAGGAAAAUCCU